UGGAGGCUGUUAGAAGAAUCUAGAAGAGUUGGUUGACAACAAGCGUGCGUGCAAGAAGGUUAUCGAAGUCUUCAGAGUGUAAUAUAUAUAUAUAUAUAUAGCUGUUGUGUGUAAAAUAAAGUAAACUAUUUGUAUUUCCGAAUCCUCUUUAUACCUUAACAUGGUAGCAGAGCGUGGUUACUAGUUUUCCAAGCUAUUUAGUGCGUGGUUUUUAGUCUUGCGAGUUAGUUCGAGUGAGUUUAGUGAGGGAAGAAACGUUCAAAGGAUAUAAAAUAAAAGAAAAAAUACUUCGAGCACGUAGGAACGCUUGAGUAAAGAAUAAGAAAUCAAUUAAAAUCGAGAGAUCGGAAAUUAUGACAUCGAUAUUUGAUGGUGAGGAUUACGGUAUGUGGAAGACAAGAAUAACGAUGUUUCUGUGGUAUAAAGAAUGCCAUAUUGUUAUAACUAGAGUGAAGACUGAAACAGACAAUCUAGACUGGAAUAAAAAGGAAUAAACAUAGGGCAAUAAACAUAAUUUAUAGUGCCAUCUCAAAUAGACAAUUAGAAUAUAUUAGGGAAGAAAAAGCAGCGUAUGAAAUAAUGAAAAAGUUCGACGAAAUGUACUUGAAAGAGUCGACGCCAUUACAGAUCGUGUGCAGAAGGAGAUUGGAGAAGAUAGUCUUGAUAAAUACAGUGAUUCUGCAUCCUUCUUUAGCGAUUUUGAAAAAUUAAUAAAUGAAUUAAAACGUGCGGGCGCACAAGUGAGUGAGAGGGAAAAGCUGAAUCACAUGCUAAAUACGUUACCCGAAGAGUGUAGUUAUAUAGCGGAUAUAAUAGAUGUAUUGAAAGAAGAGAAUCAAACGGUAGUGUACGUGAAAAACAAAAUAGAAAUAGCGGAGAAGAAAGAUAAACCUAAUCGAGGAGAAAUGAAAACUAACGCCUUUGCUGCGAAAAAGGAAGGAUGUUUUAAAUGUGGAAGAGUGGGACAUUUUGCGAGAGAGUGUCAAAAUGACGUCCAAUCGGGUAGCAGUAACAGUUAUCGGUGUGGGUCAACACGUGGUCGCAGCAAAGGAAGAGGAAACAAAGGCAAUACGAGCAGGGGACGUGGAAACUUCCAUCGUCAAUCAGCAGCCGGCACGAGCGAGUAUGGCAACUCAGGAGCAGGCACAUGGAUGGCAACAGCGCACGCACCACACAGCAGCGAGAUGAACGAGAUAAGUGGUUAGAACUCUUCCUGGAGCACCCCUGUUACACGCGUAGGAUGGUCAUCAUGGAGUUUUAGUCGGUAGGAGUCCUGCACUACUCUGCUGUUACGCGAUUACUGCAGCAACGGAGUGUCUAUGAGGAUUUCUCCGCGUACAAAAAAAAAAAAAAAAAAAAAAGAAAGGUUAUAACUUGUAUAAAAAUAAACAUUUUGUUAGUUUCGCAAUAUUGUAACUUGUGUACAGCUUUUAUAAAGUAGACUUUUUAUCUCCGAAUGUGACAAAUGUCAUACUUGUUUUACUGAAGCAAUCUUCAGUUGAAUCAGAAACUUGUUCAGAUUCCCAUUUAGCGAAUUGAAAACGAGAAUACUUUUGUACCUCGUGUAACUUUUUGAUCUAUCGAACACAACUCUGUGUACAGCAGCAAACAAACAAUUAAAAUUUUCUGCUAAUAAAAAUAACAAGUUAUCGCACUUUAUAAAUAAUUAAAAUUAAUUUAAUAAAACAAGAAGAAGAAUCUUCCAAUUUACUUUUACGUUUCUCGUAUAAAUCUAUUUUUAUUCAUUAUGAUUUAAGUCGAAUAUGAGGUGCCAUCGCAAACUGGGGAAACAUAUUUCGAAAAUAAUAGUAGUGCACAAUCUAUGAUGUCUUGGCACAAAAUUGCCAAGCAAUUCUUCGACUCUAUUCAUAAUUAUGUUCAUUCGAAAUACUUCAAAGAAUCUCUUCGUCAAGAUUUUUAGCAGGUGAGAUAUGAACGAGGAUACACUUAAUAAGAAAUCGAUAAAUACAUAACUUAUAGAACUUAUUGUAGUUCAAUUUCAUUUUAUAGUAGAUCAUAUAUUUUUCUCACAGGUAUCCCAACUAAAAUACCUUUUUUUAUAUUAAAAGAAUUAUCGAACAUCGAUUUAAUUUAAGAAUGAAGUUUUCAAAAUUUAUCUUAAAGCAUACGUAGCAAUAAAUUGAUUUAAAUAAAAGCGCUACAAAGCGAUUCUUCGAAAAUUAUCAUAUACUACAUAUCUUAAAUAAAAAAUUGUUGACAAAUUUUUCCAAAGACAGAAAGAGCAUUUUAAUAUCACUGAAAUAAAAAAGCAUUAGAAUAAUUUCAUAAUUUAUUUCCGAAACCUAAUUCAAUUCUCCGAUUAAUCGGCCCUUCUUUUACAGCUUCUUCUCUACGCAAUAUGAAAGUUUAAAAUUUUAUUUUCAUGUUAAAUUUCGUCUGUCAUUAACAAAAUUCAAUUUAAAUUUCUUUAUACGAUUCAAAUUCUACACGAUCAAGCGAAAAACAAAAAUUGUGUACAAUGUUCCAAAUCAUAAUGUAAUUGGCGCAUCUCAUGAUGAAAUGUUUUUCCGCUAUUAGAUAAAUGCAGAUUCGCCUGUCCAUCACCGAUAUUGCCAGAAGUAACGAAACGACCACCUCUUUUUUUCUUUCUCGCUGUCGUGAAUUGCGGUAUCGAUAAUCUCGAGCGGAAGCGCGAACUUACCCGGUGCCUCGUGCAUUUUGGCAACCGUCCACACGCAUACAACCAAAAGCCCGCCACGUAAUAUGCAAAUGAACAUAAUCCCUAAAAGGUCGAGACCGGACGUAUGCUUUUUUGCAACUUGUACUCUUAGGAUCUAGUUUAGGCCACCGGAAGUGCUGACCACCGUCCUUACAAGACAGCUUCCGUAACUCGAAAAUUGUUAUUUCUUUUUUAAAUUUUGCAGCUUGUGUUAAGAGCCGGGACCUUGAUAGCUGUAUUAUUAUUGUAGAAUUAUUGUAGAAUUAUAGUAAUAAAUUAGAUUUCAUAUAUUUAUUAUAUAUAUUAUACGUUUUUUGAUUUGGCAAAACGAUAUUUAUACAUAAUGUAAAAUUUCUUUAAAUGAAACUUUUAAGAAAUCAUUAUUAAUUUCGCUAUAAUUUUAUGUAAAACUCAUAUAGAACAUUUAAGCUAUUUUAAAGAAUAUUUUCUAUCGAUUUGCAAUAUUUCAAGAAAUUCAACGUUUUUGGUUACCUGACUUCCUUUAUAUGGUAAAUCUUUAGCCAAUUAGUAAAUUUUUUCAACCGAGCAACAAUUCCUUUUUUCUCCUUUCCUCUAGAUAAGAGAAUGGGCUAAACAGUGGAUUGUCAACUAGUGCAUCAGUUUUAUAGGUAGGUAUAUAAUUUCUUACGUAAAUCGUAAUUCCUGUUAAUAAAAAAUAAAUUUUUCGUCCUUCGUUUAAAAAUUUUUCUUUGAAACAUAAAUUUUGCAAAAUCGUUAAUUCUUUAACCUAGCAAAUAGCAAACGAAAAAUUUUUUAAAUAAAUUAUAAUUUGGAUCCCUGUCAUGAACUUCUUACUUUGAUUACGAAGUUUUCUGCGAAAGUUUUUGAAAAUUUGCGAGUUUACAAAACUCCGCAUAAAAUUUUUCUCCUAAUGAAACAGAUAAAAAUUCAAUGAAUUAAAAGAAUUUCUGUUUCAAUAGAUUGUAAUAUAUAAUAAAUUUCUGCAUUGCACAAAAGUUUGAUUUACUUAGUUUUAUAUCAAAUAUUAAAAACACAAUUCUGAUUCCCAUUCGGGUGAAAUUUUAUAAGAUUUCAACGUUUCGCAUAAAUUUGAAAUACGUAUGAAACGAAGUUUGUGAACGGCGGAGGUUUUCUAGGAAAAAUGGUCCUACAAGUUAGAUCGACCGUAGCUUCAAAAACAGCCACUUGCGACGUAAUAAAAAAUAAAUUUUAUGAUAAUUUUCAUUCAACUCGAUCGUUUUUCUUUCGUCUGGCUAUUCAGGCAGUUAUGCAUUUUACUAUUGCCGUUUUACAUUAUCUGACCUAACUCUUAAUUUAAUAGUUUCAGGAUAAUUUAUUUUGUCAAUUUUAUUUUCUCUUUUCUUUAGAAGGAAACGAUCCAACGAUUCUUUUCUAACAUAUUUUCAUUGAAACUUUUUAACACCCUUUUCAUCGAAACACACGACUGCACCUAUUACACGUGUGAAUGUACUUUUAACUGGAAACAACCAUCGAUAAUGGGAAAUUAAAUUCACAUCAUUGUUGUCGCAUUCAUUCGAUAAACAUGUCCGUUAUCGUGCAUCAUGUCAUUUUAAUUCAACUAGUAAUUACCGAAAAAUUUCAUGUCGUACGAUCGAAUGUGCGAAGUAAUUAUACCCUAAUGACCAUCUAAUGCAAUGGUAAAUCAAACUGACAAUCACCAAUAAUCAACUGUUUCACUUCAUUGAGGAAAUUUACUUGUUAAAAUUCGUAUUCAAAGAUAACUAAUGAAUGACCGUUCUAUGCAAACGAUUUAUUUUACUAAAUUUAGAUCAUAUUAUAUAGAUUAUCAUUAUUUUUUAUUCCAAAGUUCUUCUGAAUUAUUCUCAAUUAUGUAUACGUUAUCGUAUUAAUAUAAGUUGCAAUUAUUUUCAAGAUAUUUAAAAAAUAUUAAAAUAUUGAUACAAUUGAAACGUAAAUAUUAAACAUGAGUAUUAAAAUACUAAUGUAAAUAAAUAUUAGAAGAAGCUCGCACACAAUGAACUUUUUAUCGUGAAAGAAAAGAUAAAAAAGAUAAAUUUUGAAUAAGUUUGCCAUGACUCUCCUUAAUGAAGUUACACUAUUAUACGUUUGGUAUUUACAGUUCCUUUUAGAAGUAUGUCAACCUCGUAAUAUCACGACACAAUGACACUCGAUUAUCGUGUAACUUCCAGCUCGUUUCCAAACAUCAAAGGCAAUUACUGCCUGAAUCUUCCUGUCGCAGUUUUGAUUCCAGCAAUAACAACGUGUUCACGAUGUUGUACGAUAAAAGCCACGCAACAGGACGCUUGUAAAAUGGCACACGAAACAGUUACUGCCUGUGAAACUUCCUAAAUUUAUGGAAAUUCGGCUUUCGUUCCAAGCUAUAAUGCUUCGACGCUUUGGCUUAAUGGUUAAUGGAAGUGUAGUAAUAUGCAGAAGUUCCUGUACGCUUUUUUAUUGUCUUUUCAGCUCUGCUUUGGAAGAGAGGAAUUGAUAGAAGUUUUGCAUUAUGUAAAAUAUAGGGAAAGUAGAUGUCUCUUACUUGUGAAGAUUAGAAUGUGUUUUAAUGUUCCAUCUUUAAAAGUUGAAGAUGAAAUGAUGACAAGAAUCUCUACAAGUCGCUGUGUAGAUGAAUUUUUUUAUUAAAAAAACAAAA